AUUGAACGCUGGCGGCAGGCCUAACACAUGCAAGUCGAGCGGAUGAAGGGAGCUUGCUCUUGGAUUCAGCGGCGGACGGGUGAGUAAUGCCUAGGAAUCUGCCUGGUAGUGGGGGAUAACGUCCGGAAACGGGCGCUAAUACCGCAUACGUCCUGCGGGAGAAAGUGGGGGUUCUUCGGACCUCACGCUAUCAGUUGAGCCUAGGUCGGAUUAGCUAGUUGGUGGGGUAAAGGCCUACCAAGGCGACGAUCCGUAACUGGUCUGAGAGGAUGAUCAGUCACACUGGAACUGAGACACGGUCCAGACUCCUACGGGAGGCAGCAGUGGGGAAUAUUGGACAAUGACCGAAAGCCUGAUCCAGCCAUGCCGCGUGUGUGAAGAAGGUCUUCGGAUUGUAAAGCACUUUAAGUUGGGAGGAAGGGCAGUAAGUUAAUACCUUGCUGUUGUGACGUUACCAACAGAAUAAGCACCGGCUAACUUCGUG
rnacentral:rRNA from 1 species